GACGAACGCUGGCGGCGUGCCUAAUACAUGCAAGUAGAACGCUGAAGAGAGGAGCUUGCUCUUCUUGGAUGAGUUGCGAACGGGUGAGUAACGCGUAGGUAACCUGCCUUGUAGCGGGGGAUAACUAUUGGAAACGAUAGCUAAUACCGCAUAACAAUAGGUGACACAUGUCAUUUAUUUGAAAGGGGCAAUUGCUCCACUACAAGAUGGACCUGCGUUGUAUUAGCUAGUAGGUGAGGUAACGGCUCACCUAGGCGACGAUACAUAGCCGACCUGAGAGGGUGCUCGGCCACACUGGGACUGGGACACGGCCCAGACUCCUACGGGAGGCAGCAGUAGGGAAUCUUCGGCAAUGGGGGCAACCCUGACCGAGCAACGCCGCGUGAGUGCAGAAGGUUUUCGGAUCGUAAAGCUCUGUUGUAAGUCAAGAACGAGUGUGAGAGUGGAAAGUUCACACUGUGACGGUAGCUUACCAGAAAGGGACGGCUAACUACGUG
rnacentral:rRNA from 1 species